AAGUCGUAACAAGGUUUCCGUAGGUGAACCUGCGGAAGGAUCAUUACAGAGUUCAUGCCCUUCGGGGUAGAUCUCCCACCCUUGUGUAUCAUUAUAGAAUGUUGCUUUGGCGGGCUGCGUGCCUAGCAUGCCUCGAUUCGCGUCGAGCGCGCCCGCCAGAGGACCCCUAAACUCUGAAUGUUAGGGUCGUCUGAGUACUAUUAAAUAGUUAAAA
rnacentral:misc_RNA from 1 species